GCUAUAUAUGUUUUUAAGUGAAUGAAUGAAUUGCAGUCAUGACUAGUGUGGUUCAAUUGAUUGGAGGGUUCUCCUGUACACCAAAGGAUUGCAGGUUCAAAGAUUUGAUUCCGGGUCAGGACACAUUCUCAGGUUGGGAGUUUGGGGCAUGUAUGGGCAGUAACCAAUUGUUGUUUCUCUCUCACAUCGAUGUUUCUCUUUCCCUCCCUCUCUCUCCAAAAUUAAUUAAAAAAAGAAGAAUGAAUGGCAGAAACAGUUUACUAGUGCUUCCUCAUAUUGUUUCAUAAUGGCAAAUAGAGAUUGAGUUGACUGAUUUGGUGCCCUCUAGUGGUGAAAAAGCCCCAGGAUAUUUACCCUCCGUCUCUGUGGCAUCACCUGGUACAACCAGGGCUCUCCUGAAGAAUCAAUUACCUUUCUUGCACAAAGAAAAUACAUGGAAAUCAAUCUUGACUUGAGCAGUGCUGCUUCAUCCUCUCAAUUCAAAACUGAAAUCAUGCUUCAAGACUUAGCACAAGCCCCAUCUCCUCCAGGAAACCUUCCUUAACAAUCAAAGCAUUCUUCAGCCAUAAAGAGGGAAAUCUUGCCAUAUGUGACAAUAAGGGUAUUAGCAAGUGAAGUAAGUCAGAGAAAAAAAAUACUAUAUGAUGUCACUUAUGUGUGGUAUCUCAAAACACCAAGCUCAUGGAAGCACAGGGUAGACUGGUGAUUGCCAGGGACUGAGGAGUGGGGGAAAUGAGAUGAUGCUAGUUAAAAGGCACACAUUUCCACUUAUAAGAGGAAUGAAUCUGGGGCUCUAAUGUACUGCAUGAUGACAGUAGUUUACAAUACUGUACUGUAUGCUUGAAAGUUUCUAACAGAGUAAAUAUUAAAUGUCCUCACCACUACUACCAUUACCAUCACAAUAAAUGGUUGUUAUGUGAGGUGAAGGAUGUGUUAAAUGUGUUAAUUAACCUGACAGUGGUAAUCAUUUUACGAUAUGCAACAAAUCAUCACAUUGUACAUCUUAAACUUAAGCAAUGCUAUCAAUUAUAGCUCAAUAAAGCUGGGGGGGAAACAACGAAAAUAUUCUGAGCAAAGAAGACAGCAAGUUCAAAGAUACAGGGCAAGAGGGCAAGAUAGAGUCGGGAAACUCCAAGUAGUUCAAUAUGGCUUGGCAUAAAUUUGAUGGAGACAAUGAUAAGAGACA